rnacentral:lncRNA from 1 species
AUCUUCACUUGAGCUCUGCAUUUCAGCAAGGCGACUCCCAGAUUCUGUGGGGCUGUGUGGUACAGGGUCACUGGGUCCAGCAUGAUUAUCUGAAGCAGAAGCUGCAGCUGAUUCAGCAGUGCACUCUUCUCCCUGCAUCUUAGCUAGCCUGUAACUAGUCAGCAUCUCUUCCAGAAGGUGGCGGUAGUUCCCCCUAUGAUUUAUUCUCAUUUGCCUGAGCGCUUCCACCAAUUUUCCCUGCGUUCCACUUUCCUCGGCUUCGCCAGGGUCCCCCUCAUUCUCUCUGUGUGGAUUCAGUCUACUGUACACAGCUUCAAUAAUAUUACGCUUGCCAGCUAAACCACCUCCUGGUGGUAAAUUAGGAAUAUUCUCCGCAGAUAAAAUACGAAUAACAUGAGCAAGAUCAGGCAUUCCUUCUUCACCUGAUUUCUCCAUAAUUUCUUCAACCCGUGAUUCCAAGUGCUUAUCCAACUCUGCAUCUUUUUUCACUGCCUCAUCUGAGACCUUAGGAGCAUUUGAAAGACAAACUAGUACAAUACUCAUGUUAUCACGACUCCCCUUAUGUAAACAAGUGUCCACUACCCAAUUGCACACUUUUUCCAGGUCAUCUGAUACUUCAAGUCUAGACUUAACAAAUUCACAGAGCUCUUC